GACGAACGCUGGCGGCGUGCCUAACACAUGCAAGUCGAACGGUCUAAUGCUUAACACUGAGUAUUCAGUAAAAAAGCUGAAUGUUGAGUGUUAAGUAUUAGAUAGUGGCGGACGGGUGAGUAACGCGUGGGUAACCUACCCAUAAAUCCGGGACAACCCUUGGAAACGAGGGCUAAUACCGGAUAAUCUUAAGAAGUGGCAUCACUUUUUAAGGAAAGGUGGCCUCUGAAGAUGCUACCGAUUAUGGAUGGACCCGCGUCUGAUUAGCUAGUUGGUGGGGUAAAGGCCUACCAAGGCGACGAUCAGUAGCCGGCCUGAGAGGGUGAACGGCCACACUGGGACUGAGACACGGCCCAGACUCCUACGGGAGGCAGCAGUGGGGAAUCUUCCGCAAUGGACGAAAGUCUGACGGAGCAACGCCGCGUGUAUGAUGAAGGUCUUCGGAUUGUAAAGUACUGUCUUUGGGGAAG
rnacentral:rRNA from 1 species